UACGGGGGGGCAAGCGUUGUUCGGAAUUACUGGGGCGGUAAAGGGCUCGUAGGCGGCCAACUAAGUCAGACGAUGAAAUCCCUCAGCUUAACUGGGGAACUGCGUCUGAUACUGGAUGGCUUGAGUUUGGGAGAGGGAUGCGGAAUUCCAGGUGUAGCGGUGAAAUGCGUAGAUAUCUGGAGGAACACCGGUGGCGAAGGCGGCAUCCUGGACCAACACUGACACUGAUGAGCGAAAGCCAGGGAGCAAACGGG
rnacentral:rRNA from 1 species